GAUCAUGGCUCAGGAUGAACGCUAGCUACAGGCUUAACACAUGCAAGUCGAGGGGAAACGACAUCGAAAGCUUGCUUUUGAUGGGCGUCGACCGGCGCACGGGUGAGUAACGCGUGGAUAACCUGCCUCACACAGGGGGAUAACAGUUAGAAAUGACUGCUAAUACCGCAUAAGCGCACGGUACCGCAUGGUACAGUGUGAAAAACUCCGGUGGUGUGAGAUGGAUCCGCGU
rnacentral:rRNA from 1 species